rnacentral:rRNA from 1 species
AACGCGAAGAACCUUACCUGGGUUUGAAUUUCAGGUGUAAGCCCCAGAGAUGGGGCCCCCUCUUCGGAGGCACCUGGAGAGGUGCUGCAUGGCUGUCGUCAGCUCGUGUCGUGAGAUGUUGGGUUAAGUCCCGCAACGAGCGCAACCCUCGCCUUUAGUUGCCAGCAUUGAGUUGGGCACUCUAGAGGGACUGCCGGUGAUAAGCCGGAGGAAGGUGGGGAUGACGUCAAGUCCUCAUGGCCCUUACGGGUUGGGCUACACACGUGCUACAAUGGCGGUGACAGUGGGCAGCCACUCCGCGAGGAGGAGCUAAUCCCAAAAAACCGUCCUCAGUUCGGAUUGCAGGCUGCAAUUCGCCUGCAUGAAGCUGGAAUCGCUAGUAAUGGCGCAUCAGAACGGCGCCGUGAAUACGUUCCCGGGCCUUGUACACACCG